AUUGAACGCUGGCGGAAUGCUUUACACAUGCAAGUCGAACGGCAGCACGGACUUCGGUCUGGUGGCGAGUGGCGAACGGGUGAGUAACAUAUCGGAACGUAUCCAAUAAUGGGGGAUAACUAAUCGAAAGGUUGGCUAAUACCGCAUACGCCCUACGGGGGAAAGCAGGGGAUCUUCGGACCUUGCGUUAAUGGAGCGGCUGAUAUCUGAUUAGCUAGUUGGUGAGGUAAAGGCUCACCAAGGCGACGAUCAGUAGCUGGUCUGAGAGGACGACCAGACACACGGGAACUGAGACACGGUCCAGACUCCUACGGGAGGCAGCAGUGGGGAAUUUUGGACAAUGGGGGCAAGCCUGAUCCAGCCAUUCCGCGUGAGUGAAGAAGGCCUUCGGGUUGUAAAGCUCUUUCGCAAGGGAAGAAAACUUACUUUCUAAUAAAGAGUGAGGUUGACGGUACCUUGAUAAGAAGCACCGGCUAACUACGUGCCAGCAGCCGCCGCAG
rnacentral:rRNA from 1 species